AUACGGAGGAUGCGAGCGUUAUCCGGAUUUAUUGGGUUUAAAGGGAGCGUAGGUGGGGUAUUAAGUCAGCUGUGAAAGUUUGGGGCUCAACCUUAAAAUUGCAGUUGAUACUGGUUUCCUUGAGUACGGUACAGGUGGGCGGAAUUCGUGGUGUAGCGGUGAAAUGCUUAGAUAUCACGAAGAACUCCGAUCGCGAAGGCAGCUCACCGGGCCGGAACUGACACUGAUGCUCGAAAGUGCGGGUAUCAAACAGGAUUAGAUACCCUGGUAGUCCGCACAGUAAACGAUGAAUACUCGCUGUUUGCGAUACACGGUAAGCGGCCAAGCGAAAGCGUUAAGUAUUCCACCUGGGGAGUACGCCGGCAACGGUGAAACUCAAAUGAAUUGACGGGG
rnacentral:rRNA from 1 species